GGGCGGACGGGUGAGUAAUGUCUGGGAAACUGCCCGAUGGAGGGGGAUAACUACUGGAAACGGUAGCUAAUACCGCAUAACGUCGCAAGACCAAAGAGGGGGACCUUCGGGCCUCUUGCCAUCGGAUGUGCCCAGAUGGGAUUAGCUAGUAGGUGGGGUAACGGCUCACCUAGGCGACGAUCCCUAGCUGGUCUGAGAGGAUGACCAGCCACACUGGAACUGAGACACGGUCCAG
rnacentral:rRNA from 1 species